rnacentral:lncRNA from 1 species
UCUCGAUUUUAUUAUCUUAAUGUUGCAGCUUUAUACGAGUCCGGCUACUAUACUCUUAUAAAUAUGGGCUCUUUUAUACUCGUAAGUUUUCCUCCGUUAGAUCUAGCUCUUCGAUCAUCUAUUUCCGUUAGAUCGUACAAUUCAACCAACCACCCAUUCAAUCCUAGAGCACCACUAUUAUUCUAUCCGGGGAUCACUAUUAUCCUAAUCGCACAUCCUUCAUCUAACGGUCAAAAACUUAUGAAUCCAAAUGGGCCCAUACUCAUAAAAGUAUAGUAACCCUAGCCACUAUAUAAUAGUAAUUCUCUCAGAUUUUCUAGAUAAUUCUCGUUAACAUCAAUUUAACUGAUCAUAUGUUCAUCACUAGUAACAUAUGAAUGAUUAUUUGAAGGGUUAAUUUUAUACAGGUCCCUGCAAACAUGGUGAAUAGUAGAUAUAUCCCUGCAAAGUUCAACUUUUAUAAGUUAUCUCUGCAAAAGUCCUAAUGUAUUCAGAUACAUCCCUGCCGUUAAUAUCCGCUAGAAAAAUCUAGUUAAUCACAAUUAAAAUACUUAACCAUGAUUAAUUAAUAAUGUGAAUUGAUAAUUUUGCCCUUCUUCUUCUUCCUCUUCCUCUCCCUCUUCUUCUUCCUCUCCUGCUUCUUCUUCAUAUUUUUUUCCGUAUCCUCCUUUUCCUUCUUUUCUCCUCAUUUUUCUUCUUCUUCGUCGUCGUCGUCAUCAUCGUCGAUGAUCCGAUCGUCGUCGCCGUCGUGGUGUCUGCGUGGGCGAUCGUCAUGGGCGCCUCCGAUAGCAUCGGCCUCGCCUUCGCCUUCCGCCUCUUCCUCGUCCUCGUUGGCCGCAACCCCGACAAGCUCCACAAGGUCGCCGCCGCCGUCCACUCCCGCAGUUUGAAGAGGUAGAGGAAGAGGAAAAAGAAGAGAAAGAGGAAAAGGGCAAGGACAAAAGUGUCAUUUCACAAUUUUACUGUUAAAAAAUUAACAGUUCUCUAACAGAUACUAACCGGAAGGACAUAUUUGAAUACAUUACGACUUUUGUAGGGAUAACUUAUAAAAGUUGAACUUUGCAGGAACAUAUCUACGAUUCACUAUAUUUGCGGGAACCUGUAUGAAAUUAACCCUAAUUUUAAUGAAAUGAGCAACCUAUUUUUCAUAUGUUCAACUAAACAAUUAAUCCACCAUCUGAAAUUUUUAUAUUUACUCGCUAUAUAGAUUUAUAUUUUUCACAUCAUUUUAC